AGAGUUUGAUCCUGGCUCAGGAUGAACGCUAGCGGGAGGCCUAACACAUGCAAGCCGAGCGGUAGAUUGCUUUCGGGCAAUUGAGAGCGGCGCACGGGUGCGGAACACGUGUGCAACCUGCCUUUAUCUGGGGGAUAGCCUUUCGAAAGGAAGAUUAAUACCCCAUAAUAUAAGAAACGGCAUCGUUUUUUAUUGAAAGCUCCGGCGGAUAAAGAUGGGCACGCGCAAGAUUAGAUAGUUGGUGAGGUAACGGCUCACCAAGUCAAUGAUCUUUAGGGGGCCUGAGAGGGUGAUCCCCCACACUGGUACUGAGACACGGACCAGACUCCUACGGGAGGCAGCAGUGAGGAAUAUUGGACAAUGGGUUAGCGCCUGAUCCAGCCAUCCCGCGUGAAGGACGACGGCCCUAUGGGUUGUAAACUUCUUUUGUACAGGGAUAAACCUACCCUCGUGAGGGUAGCUGAAGGUACUGUACGAAUAAGCACCGGCUAACUCCGUGCCAGCAGCCGCGGUAAUACGGAGGGUGCAAGCGUUAUCCGGAUUUAUUGGGUUUAAAGGGUCCGUAGGCGGAUCUGUAAGUCAGUGGUGAAAUCUCACAGCUUAACUGUGAAACUGCCAUUGAUACUGCAGGUCUUGAGUAAAUUUGAAGUGGCUGGAAUAAGUAGUGUAGCGGUGAAAUGCAUAGAUAUUACUUAGAACACCAAUUGCGAAGGCAGGUCACUAAGAUUUAACUGACGCUGAGGGACGAAAGCGUGGGGAGCGAACAGGAUUAGAUACCCUGGUAGUCCACGCCGUAAACGAUGCUAACUCGUUUUUGGGUUUUCGGAUUCAGAGACUAAGCGAAAGUGAUAAGUUAGCCACCUGGGGAGUACGUUCGCAAGAAUGAAACUCAAAGGAAUUGACGGGGGCCCGCACAAGCGGUGGAUUAUGUGGUUUAAUUCGAUGAUACGCGAGGAACCUUACCAAGACUUAAAUGGGAAAUGACAGAUUUAGAAAUAGAUCCUUCUUCGGACAUUUUUCAAGGUGCUGCAUGGUUGUCGUCAGCUCGUGCCGUGAGGUGUUAGGUUAAGUCCUGCAACGAGCGCAACCCCUGUCACUAGUUGCUACCAUUCAGUUGAGGACUCUAGUGAGACUGCCUACGCAAGUAGAGAGGAAGGUGGGGAUGACGUCAAAUCAUCACGGCCCUUACGUCUUGGGCCACACACGUAAUACAAUGGCCGGUACAGAGGGCAGCUACACAGCGAUGUGAUGCAAAUCUCGAAAGCCGGUCUCAGUUCGGAUUGGAGUCUGCAACUCGACUCUAUGAAGCUGGAAUCGCUAGUAAUCGCGCAUCAGCCAUGGCGCGGUGAAUACGUUCCCGGGCCUUGUACACACCGCCCGUCAAGCCAUGGAAGUCUGGGGUACCUGAAGUCGGUGACCGUAAAAGGAGCUGCCUAUGGUA
rnacentral:rRNA from 2 species